rnacentral:rRNA from 1 species
CCUACGGGAGGCAGCAGUAAGGAAUAUUGGUCAAUGGACGCAAGUCUGAACCAGCCAUGCCGCGUGAAGGAUUAAGGUCCUCUGGAUUGUAAACUUCUUUUAUCUGGGACGAAAAAAGGCGAUUCUUCGUCACUUGACGGUACCAGAUGAAUAAGCACCGGCUAACUCCGUGCCAGCAGCCGCGGUAAUACGGAGGGUGCAAGCGUUAUCCGGAUUCACUGGGUUUAAAGGGUGCGUAGGCGGGCAGGUAAGUCAGUGGUGAAAUCCUAGAGCUUAACUCUAGAACUGCCAUUGAUACUAUCUGUCUUGAAUAUUGUGGAGGUAAGCGGAAUAUGUCAUGUAGCGGUGAAAUGCUUAGAUAUGACAUAGAACACCUAUUGCGAAGGCAGCUUACUACGCAUAUAUUGACGCUGAGGCACGAAAGCGUGGGGAUCAAACAGGAUUAGAUACCCUGGUAGUCCACGCCCUAAACGAUGAUUACUCGACAUUUGUGAUACACUAUAAGUGUCUGAGCGAAAGCAUUAAGUAAUCCACCUGGAAGUACGACCGCAAGGUUGAAACUCAAAGGAAUUGACGGCGNGAGAGNGCGACGGACGACGACGAGGGGAGGAGG